rnacentral:rRNA from 1 species
UGAAGAUUAAUCCCCCAUAGUCUCUUUUUGUGGCAUCACUUAAGGAGUAAAGGUUACGGUAUAAGAUGAGUAUGCGUUCUAUUAGUUUGUUGGUGUGGUAACGGCACACCAAGACUACGAUAGAUAGGGGUCCUGAGAGGGGGAUCCCCCACACUGGUACUGAGACACGGACCAGACUCCUACGGGAGGCAGCAGUGAGGAAUAUUGGACAAUGGAGGCAACUCUGAUCCAGCCAUGCCGCGUGUAGGAUGACUGCCCUAUGGGUUGUAAACUACUUUUAUACAGGAAGAAACACCUCUACGUGUAGAGGCUUGACGGUACUGUAAGAAUAAGGAUCGGCUAACUCCGUG